GCCACAGCCAAAGCUCAACUCCUGCCAGGGCAGGGCCGAGUUGCCAGCCGCUGCCAGGGCAGCUGGGGCACAGAGGCCAGCCAGCUCUCCUCGGUGGGCCAGGGGAACCCCUCGAUCCCGGCUCCCUGCUCCGUUUCAGCUGGGAGCCCCCUGUCUGCUGGCCUGCCCCACUGUGGGCAGCCCAGGCCCGAGGGAGGGCCAAGGAUGGUGGAGGCCCCACGUGUCCCGUCCACCCUCUUCCUGCUGGCCUCUCGCAUCCUCCGCCUCCGAGCCUCCCUGUUCCUGCCCUGCUCACAGCCUUCCUGCGGCUCCAUCUCACGCAGGUAAGAGCCGAGUCCUCCCUGUGCCCCCCGCCCCGCCCCGGCCACUCGGCCUCCGCUCUGUUCUUUGGCCCUCAAGCACUCUGCGGCCCCAAGCCUUUGUGCUGGCUGUUCUCGCGGCCAGGGUCCUCCUCCCCCAGGCACCCACUCCUCUCCCCACCCUGCUCUAGUGUGACCUCCUCUUCGAGGCCCUCCCUGACCGCUUCACUGAAGAUCCCCACGUCCCCUCAGCCUCCACACCCAGCUGAUCCCUGCUCUUUUUCUUCUCAGCACUCACCAUCUGACUCACUAGCUGGCUGUCUGGUGUAUCUGCUGUGAACUGUCUCUCCUUUCCCCUCGAAUGUGAGCUUGGCAAGGGCAGGGACAUCCCUGGCUCUCCUGGCCUCUGCUGUGGGCCCUGCCCCGGGCUUGGCAGAGCUCAGCUCUCACCCGAC
rnacentral:lncRNA from 1 species